UACAAUAAAUUUUGUACACCUAAGUGGUUACAUACUGUCCUUUAAUAUUAAUUCUUCAUUCCAGACUGCCCAUCAUCCUAGCCUGUUAUCUGUGAUAAAGCACACUGAAGUUAGGUUUGGAAUGCAUCCUUAUCAUGAAUGCUCUACACCUCCACCUCCAUCUCCCACAACCUAGGUAACAGCUUUGAGACUCACUAAAAGUUGAACCCCCUGAAUGAUGUAGGCUAUGGGGCCACAUAAGACUUUGUCCAUCCAGGGUUACGUUGAAUGCCAAAUUUAAACUAAAGAACCAACAUUUUUCACACAACUCCAGGUUGUUACUACAAGUGUCAUCAAGGGAUAACUACUACAAGUAGAAGCACCAUUUUUGGAUGGAAAAAACCCUUCAGGAAAAGUAUCGUAUCACAUGUAACAUGUAGUGUA